rnacentral:ncRNA from 2 species
UGCAUAUUGAAAUGAACAGGUGUCUUUUUAACGAGACUUAAUAGGGAAGGUUGGUGAAAAUCCAACGCGGUCCCGCCACUGUAAAUGGGAGCAAGCUGAGAAAUGCCACUGUACAAAUGUAUGGGAAGGCACAGCGAGCAUUGACCAUAAGCCAGGAGACCUGCCUGUCCAUUGCACCAAGC